UUUUAUUACAGGGCACUUGGGAAGCUUGUAAAUGACAGGCAGAAUAACUGGGACAUCUAUCUUGAUGCAACAUUAUUCGCCUUGAGAUCAAAGAUGCAGUUAACAACAAAGUACUCUCCGUUCCUACUUAUGUACGGGAGGGAAGCAAUUUUUCCGUCUGAGGUUCCACUUGAUCUGCCACUUUCGAACAUCAUUCUUCCCACUGAGGACAGCUAUGAUAAAUUUGUGGAAGAAAAGAAAGAUGCCCAAGUGUUGUUGCACGAAGCCACUAAGGCCAAUAUAGAGAAGGCCCAAACAAAGCAAAAGGAGGCUCACGCUAAGAAAGUGCUAAAAAAAUAUAAAAAUGUAACUUUCAAUGUUGGUGAUGAGGUCCUUCUCUAUAACAUGAGAAAGCGUGGCAGACAAGGAGGAAGGAUGGAGCCGGACUUCACGGGGCCUUAUACCAUCCAGGAGGUGAUUGGAAAAAUUGUAAAGUUAGCGACUUCUGAUGGGAAGACUUUAAAAAAAAAAUAAGCUUGAACCACAUAAAACCAUAUCGAAGGAGCUUCAAUACUUCAGCCCUCGUGGUCAAAAAAGAAGCAAAGUCCCCUGAGAAGAUCGAUGACAGUCCACCCUGCCCUAAGAAGAUCGAGGACAGUCCACCAUGGCCUGAGAAGAUCGAGGACAGUCCACCAUGGCCUGAGAAGAUCAACUACAGUCCACCCUGCACAGAGAAGAUUGAGGACAAUCCACCCUGGCCUGAGAAGAUCGAGGACAGUCCACCCAGCCAAAAACAUUGUGUCUCUAUCAUCGAUUUCAUUAACGAUACUAUGGAGUUCAAACGCUGUGGAAUUCAGAAGAUCAGGACUCCGAGGAACCAGUGGUGGGGCCAUACAAACUGUAUGUGUCGUCUUUUAAAACUCUGCAUGGGACAGAGUGGCUUUCUGAUGAGGUAAGGGAUUAACACUAAUUAAUAGAAAUGAGUUAAAUAUAUUUAAUAGUAAUAUUUUAAUAAAUAUUUUAUUUUACAGGUCAUUGAUGCAUACAUAUGGCAUGUAAUUGCACAUUAUCGAGUAAGUGUAACGUGCUUGUAUGUUUAAUUUAUAUGUUCAUUGCACUAUAAUAAAGUAUUCUCACUUUAAUUUGUUUCAAACAGCUACCGAUUCACCAGAUAUGCGCCAGUGCUGCUACGUCCUUAUUUAUUGGUGACAUUUCAAGACUUGGAAAGAUGCCAUUUCCAGAGGAGGAUAUGUGGAUUUGCCCAUUUAACCAUAAGAGUCAUUGGAUUUUGAUGAUCGUAAGGAAGUCACAAAAGGAGCUCCUACUGAUGGAUCCACUCGGCAAUGAAGAUUACUAUGCGUCAAUCCUUAAACCAAACUGGGG